rnacentral:rRNA from 1 species
UACGUAGGGUGCGAGCGUUAAUCGGAAUUACUGAGCGUAAAGCGUGCGCAGGCGGUUCGUUGUGUCGGCGGGGAAAGCCCCGGGCUCAACCUGGGAAUGGCCGUUGAAACUGGCGAACUGGAGUGUGGCAGAGGGGGGUGGAAUUCCGCGUGUAGCAGUGAAAUGCGUAGAGAUGCGGAGGAACACCGAUGGCGAAGGCAGCCCCCUGGGCUGACACUGACGCUCAGGCACGAAAGCGUGGGGAGCAAACAGG